rnacentral:rRNA from 1 species
CAGUAGCCGCGGUAAUACGAAGGGUGCAAGCGUUAAUCGGAAUUACUGGGCGUAAAGCGUGCGUAGGCGGUGAGUUAAGUCUGCUGUGAAAUCCCCGGGCUCAACCUGGGAAUGGCAGUGGAUACUGGCUCGCUAGAGUGUGUCAGAGGAUGGUGGAAUUCCCGGUGUAGCGGUGAAAUGCGUAGAGAUCGGGAGGAACAUCAGUGGCGAAGGCAGCCAUCUGGCCUAAUACUGACGCUGAGGUACGAAAGCAUGGGGAGCAAACAGGAUUAGAUACCCGCGUAGUCCCUGUCUCUUAUAC